rnacentral:rRNA from 1 species
UACAUGGGGUGCAAACGUUGCUCGGAAUUAUUGGGCGUAAAGCGCGUGUAGGCGGCUUUGCAAGUCGGGUGUGAAAGCCCUCGGCUCAACCGAGGAAGUGCGCCCGAAACUGCAGAGCUUGAGUACCGGAGAGGAUGGCGGAAUUCCCCAAGUAGAGGUGAAAUUCGUAGAUAUGGGGAGGAACACCGGUGGCGAAGGCGGCCAUCUGGACGGAUACUGACGCUGAGACGCGAAAGCGUGGGUAGCAAACAGG